UACAGAGGUCCCGAGCGUUGUUCGGAUUCACUGGGCGUAAAGGGUGCGUAGGUGGCGAGGUAAGUCGGAUGUGAAAGCUCGGAGCUCAACUCCGAAAUGGCAUUGGAAACUACCUUGCUCGAGGGUUGGAGGGGGGACUGGAAUACUUGGUGUAGCAGUGAAAUGCGUAGAUAUCAAGUGGAACACCAGUGGCGAAGGCGAGUCCCUGGACAACUCCUGACACUGAGGCACGAAAGCUAGGGUAGCAAACGGG
rnacentral:rRNA from 1 species